GGAUCCGACCUUAGUUUUAAAGCCAUUAUUUUGUUCAAGCAUCGUCAUCAACUAGUGCUUCCGCAUCCAGAGUCAGGAAGGAGCAAGGUAAUAGACUACUCUGUCCAGGUCUCAGGAUGGUGUGAGUAAUAAACCUAACUAUCCCCCUUGUGCUAAGUAUGGUAGGACGCAUAUCGAAGAGUGUAUGGAUGAGUAGAGAGGUUGUUUUGAUUGUGGUAAGUUGGGCCACAGACUCAGAGAUUGUCCAUAUGCUAGAUAAGAGAGUCGUGAUAUUCAUUCCUA
rnacentral:lncRNA from 1 species